GUAAUGUUCUGUUCCCAUAAGUGUGUAACUGCUGUUUUAGCAUAACUUAAGUGACUGUAUCCUAGUGCUGACCAGGUCCUAACCAUAGACUAUGUAUACUAUGACAUCAUUUUGAGUCAGUGGCCAUAUUUGGACAAGAAGGCAGAGCGCUUAGUUAUCAACCGAAUGGCAGCAAGCUUGGUUAGAAUCCAUAAACUGUAAGGGUGCAACUCACAGACACAUGUCUCCUAAUUAGUGCAGUGAUGUCUCAUGAUAUUAAUCAGCUAAUUUAUUUUUAUAGAAGGCUUAAACUCAAACCAGUUAGCAGGGGUCAGUCCUAGGAGACACAGCAGGCUGUAGCUUUAAUUAGUCCAAGCGCCGAAGCCCUGAAGCCUCAAUAAAAAUUGAAGGAUGAGUUCCCAGACAAAAAUCUAACCUGGAACAAUCAUUUUGAAGAGGCCAUCUAGGGGAACAACAAAGCAUUCCCAGGCCAGCCAAGAGAUGUAAUCCCACCUGUCCUGGGGGUAUCCCAGGGUCACCUCCUCCUGGUGGGACAUGCCCAGAACAUCUCACCCUAAUCAGAUGCUUGAACCACCUCAGCUGGUUUAUUUGAAUGUGGAGGAGUAGAGGCUCUAGUCUGAGUCUGUUACAAAUGGACUGGACUCCUCACCCUACCUCUAAACGAGAGCUCAUGACCAUAGGUCAAGGUGGGACGUAGAAUAGAGGAGGAAAAGAGAACCACAGAGAAGAUUCGUGGAUGUAGUGAGGGACCUGCAGACGGUUGGUGUGACAGAGUAGCAUGCUACAGUAGAGACAGGGUGAGGUGGAGGCAGACGAUCUGCUGUGCUGACCCCUCAAGGAAAAACAUGAGGUACUGCUCACCUUGGCAGGGUGGAUGUAUAAACAUUUUCUUUGCUAAAGGGUCUGAGUAUCAUUGAAUAAUGUUGGUUUCCUAGUACAAAUAAACAUAUAUUAAUAAAUGAAAUAUGAAAAAAUGUUCUUGGUCUUGGAAACAAAACUGAAAAGCUGGCCUGAGACAUCUGCACACGGU
ensembl:lncRNA